GGGCGGCGGCGGCGCGGAGGAGGAGGAGGAGGAGGAAGGCAGGAAGGGGGCGGCGGAAGGAGCCACCAAUCUGCCGCUCAGCCCGGCGCCGCGGCCCGCCUCGCCGGCCUGCCCGAGCCGCCCCGGGCGCUGCCGGCGGCGGGCGGAGGCGGCGGGGCGCCCGUCGGGCCGCGCCGAGCCGGCGGCGGCCACCGGCCGCGCUGGGGGCGGCGGGCCCGGCCCGGCCGCGCCGCGAGGCCCGGCGGGCGCGGGGGGGAACAAAGGCGGCGCCGGGGGCGGCGGUGCCGCGGUCCGCCCCGCCGCGGGUGCGCGCCCCGCUCCGCCCCGCUCCCGUCUCCGCCUCGCCGCGCCGCUGCCGCGGAGGAGGCGCCGUCGCCGCCGGCUCCGCCGAGGAAGAGGAGGAGGACGCUACCCGCCGGCUUCCUCCUCGCCCGCGGCGGCGGCGCGGCGCGGCCCCCGCUCCGCUCCGCUCCGCCGCCGGGUCUCCGCCGGGCAGGAGCCCCUUCCCUCACCGCGGCAGCCGCGGCUGGACGCCUUCUCCGGGGCCAGGGGCCAGGAUGCCCGGGCUGCGCCACCCGGAAAGUUGGAUAGGCCGGUGAAGUCUGCGAUUCCUCCCGAGUGCGCUAUCAGGUUCUUCUACUACCUUUGUCAGUACGAUACCUGAAGACCUUCCUGGAAAGCUCUAAGCAACGUAUCUAAGAGAAGUUUGCUCUGCUCCACUGAAAAAAAUCAUGCUGGUGUUUGGUGGGCCUGUCAGUGAUUUGGAGUGGAUGGCUGACCUGCACUGCCUUCUGUUAACACCACCAAAAUGACUUGAUGGACCCAUGUGGAAGGACUGCAGCUCCUGUGCUAGCUCUAACAGGUCCCACCUUUGCUAUGUUUUUCAGGGAUCCUGUGCUGGUUAUUGUCCCUCCCUUUACCCCUGCCCAUCUGAUCAGAUGAAAUCCCAGAUGCUUUCAGCCAGACUUGAAAAAAGUUAAACAAACAGAACCGUUGAUCUGACACCCUUGUUUUUGACCAAAUACUAGGCAAGUGAGUAUGUGCAGCCCAAAUGAUCUCAGCAUGCAAUCUGCCCAUGACAUGUGCUCAUCUAUUUUUGUUUUUGUUUUUUGUUUUUUUUUUUUUACCAUGUACUGGACAUUCAGACAAGGCUCUAUACCAAAGAAAUUCAAGCUAACAUAGGACUUUUGGGAAAAUAUUUAGAGGGCACAUUGCUUCAAACACAGUCAAACAAAGUGUUAAACUCUCUUGUGAUCUCUUGUAGGAGCCAUAGGAAUGGUUCACGAGCCUCAUGUGCAAAGGGUUGUACACAUCUGAAGCCCAAAAUAGCAGUUUGGGGCAAGCUUGUACUUCUAAAGCUGAAACACUCCCACUUAAACCCUUUUUGGUGGAGAGUGGGUUCCAGACUAAAUUAUAGUCUUCAUAGAGAGGUUUUCAUUGUCAUAUAUAUACAAAGCCAAAAUAAAACAAAGAAAACAAACAAGCACAUUUUUGUUGGAGAUGUUUAAGUUUGCCUUUUGAUAAAGAGUCGAUUAUUUUUCCACAGAGGAGACUUUUCAGAUUCCUAAGCAUAUCUUUCAUAUAUAAGCAUAUAUUUCAGUACUAAAUUGAGUAGAAUUAUGAUAGAAUGCACCCAAAUUAAAACUUUUUAGAUUCAUGUUUUUGACAUGGAAAGCUUUUUUAUAGAAUAACAGUAACCACAAAAGUCAUUGCAGAAAGUAUGUCUACUUUUUGUGAUAUUUACUUUUUUCCCUUCUCUUCUAGUCUCUCUGUACCCAUGUUCCCGUUUAUUCCUCUGACAGAGAACAGAAGAGCAGGCAUAUGUGGCCAGAUCAUAUCCUGUCCACUUAGUAUCCAGUAACCUCUCACUGACAGCACCCAGAAGUGGGUGUUGAGAAAAAGGGAUGGGAACAGUGCAAGCACAUAUAACACUUUCCCAGGACUCUGCCAGCCCUGAUCAUUUGCAGUUUAGGGAGGAACGAGAUUUGAGUUUAUUUUCCAUUCUUUUCUGUCACCUACUAAUGGUUUCAGAACUGAGAUUUUUGACAGUGAAAAAUGGGAAAUAGGAAAAGCAAAACUGCAAGAAACCUUUUUUGCCUAUCCCCCUCCAUGAAGAAAAAGGAAAGAGAAAAAAAAAAGCAAGCAAGAAAAAGAGAGACCUCCCCAGACAUUUCCUGAUCUGUUGUAUUCUGAAGCAACCUGGAAGCCAUGUAUGAAGGGCAAGAAGAAAACACAAAAUAAUGUUUUGUGGGCUUACCUUUUCCUCUGACAUUUUUCCUAAUUCUAACAAAAUGAAAAAGACAAAAGGCCCAGUGACCAAACAGGAUGGCAGCAAGUGACCUUCCUCUCUCUCAAAGUCUUCAGUAAGACCCUUGAAUAUACUCACUGAUUCAAUCUGCAGCACAAGGGUUUUGGCACAGCCACCUAGAUUUACUCCUUUACUCGCAUGCACCCAGGUGCCUUGUGUGCCACCACCCAGAAGCACGCUUGGUGUUGGCUUGAGGGAGCCUAAACUGCAAGACUCUUUGAGUAGAUAUGAGAAACAACUGAGAUCCUGUGCAGGAGUAUGCGUGAGCUGAUAAAAAGAAGAUACAGAAGAUAAAAAGAAGAGCAAGGGAGCCAAGUGGUACCAGUCUUAGGCUGGUGAGCUGCUUCUCCACUGUUCUACCCUGCCUUCGUGUCUUCUAGCACAGAAGAAAAUGGCAAUCUCCUUCUCCUGGCAGCAGAAAGGUACAUGCUCCCUGGAGCGAGCUCUGCUGUCCUUUCUGGCUCUGUGGAGGGAACAGACUGGCCUUUAGGAGAUAUUGCAAAAAGCAAAUCCCAUUGCAGACCUUAGAUCAUCUAGGGAGAACACACAUAGAGAACUAAACACCCCCCCCCGACACACUAAAACUCAGACUAAUAUGGGAGGGAUUGGUAAUAAAUCAUAGUGAAAUCACAGCUGUUUUAUAGUCUACAUUUUAGGUCUGAAUUUACCUCUUUUCCAGAAGCUGGGCUUACCACCCCCCUGGGACUCAGCUUUUCCUUGUGUUCCCCAUAGCAUGAUCUUUUGUGCCCUCUCUCUUCUCUUACACUGUCUUCUGUCAGAGCAGCUGCAACCAUCCUGCAGAAGGUGAAAGGGAUGACCAGCUGCCCUUUCUACCCAGGGAGCUCAGAAACCUCAGGCAAAUCCUGCAGAAUGUCUCUGCACCCACAGACAGCCUGACAAAGCUGCGCCUUCCCAGAGUUCGUCUGGAAGAUUGCUUGCUGGAGAUAUUGCUGAGACAGGCCCUCCCUGCAGGCAAAGCCAGUACUAUCCCUGCUGGUGUCAGUACAGCUGAACUCUCCUCUCAAUUUUACACAGGCCACACAUGGCAAAAUAGAUAGCCCAUGUUGAAGCAUGGGAUACAAACCACUGGAGACUCUGAGCAAGCUUCAUUUUAUUUCUGUGUCCACAUGUUGCAUCAUAGAGUAUCAGCAGCAUGUGAAGAACCAAGAAAAGACCUACAAGGACUCGUCUAAAAGGGACCUUUGAAAUCUCUAUAUGACAGAGCAGUUAAGAUGACCUUACUACCUUCGGCUGCUGUGUAAUCAUUUCACAUCUAAAGGAAGUAUAAGGAGAAAACAAACCCUUUCUGUGGAUGCGGAGGAGCAAAGAGAAGGUGCAGAGAAAACCCAGGCAGUUCCACAAUGCCCUGAUAAGAGACACUGAGGAAGAAGCUAAAAAAGAGGGAUUUCAGACGCCUGAAGGAAAUGGUUCCCAAAGAGAGAUUUCAGGAACUUGACCUGUGCAGCUUUACGAAAAGAAGAUCUCUGGAAUGAAUUGAUAAAUGUACAAGGACUUCAUUUGGACUGGAUAAAAUACUGGGGAACACUUUGAUUUGCUGCAGAGGAAAUAAAAAAGAGCAAGAAAAUAUGAAGGUCAUUUGACACAAACAAAGAACAAGGCAUCACAUAAGAUUAUGUUCGUUUUUCAAACAAGCUUUCAAAGGAUCUGGUGCUUUCUUUUGAAGUCUCCAAGACCAGAUCAAAUGACUUUAUCUAAGAAAACUGCUAGUUGCAUUCCAGUCUAAGGGCCAAUAUUGAGCUAUCUAGAAGCCAAACUGAGGGCCAGACUUGAGGUCUUAAAAUUGCCCUUCUGGGCAGCCUGUGAACCCAUGAUAUGUCUUCAUUAAGAAUGAGGAAAGGCCAAAGAGAGCAUGAAACACAUAUACUCUCUGGUACAAACUUGAUUAUUACGGAGUGCAGAGCACCUGACACGUGGAAAAAUGGAUCUCCCAGAGUGCCUCAGGUCGGGCUCCCAGAAGCACUGCUCAUGUUUCAUACUCCCAGUCUUCAGAAGUUCUUUGUCCUUUUAGUGUCAAGAAGGGGAAAAAUUAACAAGUAGCUCCAGUCUGAAUGCCUCCACUGUCUUCUGCUUCUUCAUACACAGUGAAAAUUCACCCCUUGUCAAAACAGAACUUUGGAUGAAGGGAAACAACAAUCGGGAAAAAAAUAAGAUGCAAUUUAAUUUGUUCGGAGCUAGCAAAUCUGAGCUCAAAUGGAUGCUGUUCCCAUAUGUCAAAAAGUACGGGGUUUACUAUAAGAAAAAAGUCAAAGGGAUGGAAAGGGAUGGUUCCUUCCAAAAAACAUACCUCUUGGCAAGAAGAGGGGCAGACCAGCUUUCGGCAUUCAAGUACUGCAGGACUGAAGUGCUGAAGUUGACUAGUGACUGAUUGAGGGGUCAUAGGCAGUUCCUCCUGUCUGGGUCCUCUGAGAAAAGCUGCAGGUCUGCCUGGUGUAGGGAUGCAUGGACAGGCAGGACCAUACGCAGUAUGUGACAGUUUUCUGGAGGAUUCCAGCAGAGUACGAAUUGCACAGCAAGCCUAGCAAUUGUAAGAGAAUACUUUCACUAUAGACAGGUACAUGUGUAUACACACACACACACAGACACACACAGACACACACACACACAGACACACACACACAUACAUGUGUAUAUAUUUGUAUGCACACACAGGCCUGUUUGGAUAAAACAAAUUCUGGAUAUGAGGAAAUUUCAUAAAAUCUGAAAUUCCCUCCCUAAAUAACAUGACAGUCCUUUUUCCUUGAAAAACAGGUUUUGCCUAUGAGCAGUUGUGUUCACUGAUAACUGGGACACAUAUUCAAUUCUGCUUACCACUGCUCCCACUUUUCUCAUCCCAGUUCCUUGUUUAACAUGGCCUCAGCAGCCUAGUGCUGUUCCCUGCAAAAUGCAGAUUCCAAACCUGCAUUGAGCUACCUUUCUACUCAGAGCCCGAAUGUUUGUUCAUGCCUUCAGCACAUAGAAGAAUGUUAAUCACAUGCGUGACAGCUGUUACAAGUUUCAUUUUGAAGAUGUAGGUUGAUUUAUGUGUUGAAGGCUGCUUACUCUGAGAUAUGCUCCCUCUCCUUCUCCUGCUCUCAAUUCAGGCAGAAUAACACCAUAUUCUGAUUUACUAGUGAGAAAUGGGAAAUCAUUGAACAACAUUCUUCACAUGACUUGUUACAGAGUCUUCCAAAUGUCAGCAGCGAGACUACAUUUCAGCUGCUGGAGUAUUUGAGGAGUAAACAAGUCCAGAUAACAAGAAAGUUUUAACUUAUGUUUUGCACAUUCUUGAUGAUUGCAGAUGCAAGAUGACGCUUGGAAUAAAAAAGACUUUGUUUAUCA